rnacentral:rRNA from 1 species
UACGUAGGGUGCAAGCGUUGUCCGGAAUUAUUGGGCGUAAAGAGCUCGUAGGCGGUUUGUCGCGUCUGCUGUGAAAAUCCAGGGCUUAACCCUGGACCUGCAGUGGGUACGGGCAGACUAGAGUGCGGUAGGGGAGAUCGGAAUUCCUGGUGUAGCGGUGAAAUGCGCAGAUAUCAGGAGGAACACCGGUGGCGAAGGCGGUUCUCUGGGCCUUACCUGACACUGAGGAGCGAAAGCGUGGGGAGCGAACAGG